rnacentral:rRNA from 1 species
UACGAAGGGGCUAGCGUUGUUCGGAAUUACUGGGCGUAAAGGGCGCGUAGGCGGUGUGUCAAGUCAGGCGUGAAAGCCCCGGGCUCAACCUGGGAACAGCGCUUGAGACUGGCACGCUCGAGUUCGGGAGAGGGAUGGUGGAAUUCCCAGUGAUAGAGGUGAAAUUCGUAGAUAUUGGGAAGAACACCGAUGGCGAAGGGCAGCCAUCUGGACCGACACCUGACGCUCAUGCACGAAAGGCGUGG